AUCAAUGCAGUGAGGUUAAGGUGCUGGACAAAGGUACUUAAACUAAAGGCUCCACAAACUGUGGAUCUAAUUUAAUUAUCUAGUAAUUAACACAUUGGGAUCACUAAGAAGACAUAGAACAAGGGGACCUCUCUUUUUUCAACAAAAUGUGCGGCAUUCAAAAGCCCAAGUGGAUUUUUCAAGCUGCUCUUUUGAGGCUGCAGAAUCAACAGAAAACGGGACACAACUUCCCACAACUUCAAGACUUUCCUGGCUCCUCCCCUGGGAUGAGGUGAGCCUGGAAGACGAUGAACCUAGAUCAGAGCCAAGAUUCACUUUGCCUUCACUUCACUACUUCCAAUGAAUCAUAGAAUCAGAGUUGGAAGAGACCUCAUGGGACAUCCAGUCCAACCCACUGCCAAGAAGCAGGAAAAUCACAUUCAAAGCACCCCUGAAAGAUGGCCAUCCACCCUCUGCUUAAAAGCCUCCAAAGACAGAGCCUCCACCACACUCCAGGGCAGAGAGUUCCACUGAUGAACAGCUCUCACAGUGAGGAAGUUCUUCCUAAUGUUCAGGUGGAAUCCCCUUUCCUGUAGUUUGAAGCCAUUGUUCCAUGUCCUAGUUUCCAGAGCAGCAGAAAACAAGCUUGCUCCAUCCUCCCUAUGACUUCCCCUCACAUAUUUAUACAUGGCUAUCAUGUCUGCUCUCAGCCUUCUCUUCUGCUGGCUAAACAUGCCCAGCUUUUUAAGCCGCUCCUCAUAGGGCUUGUUCUCCAGACCCUUGAUCAUUUUAGUCGCCCUCCACCUUCCAGCUUGUCAACAUCUCUUUUCAAUUAUGGUACACAGAAUUGUACACAGUAUUCCUGGUAUGGUCUGAUCAAGACAGAAUAGAGGGGUAGCAUGAUUUCCCUUGAUCUAGACACUAUUCUCCUAUUUAUGCAGGCCAAAAUUCCAUUGGCUUUUUAUGCCAUCGCAUCACAUCGUUGGCUCAUGUUUAACUUGUCCAUGAGGACUUCAAGAACUUUUUCACAUGUACUGUUGUCAAGCCAGGCACCCCACAUUUUGUAUCUUUGUAUUUCAUUUUUCUGCCUAAAUGGCAGGAAUUAAAAAGAAGAAAAUGCUUCAU